rnacentral:rRNA from 1 species
CCCUUAGAUGUUCUGGGCCGCACGCGCGCUACACUGACUACUUCAACGAGUUGUUUCCUUGAUCGAAAGGUCUGGGUAAUCUUUGAAAGGUAGUCGUGAUGGGGAUAGAUCCUUGCAAUUUUUGAUCUUCAACGAGGAAUUCCUAGUAAACGCAAGUCAUCAGCUUGCAUUGAUUACGUCCCUGCCCUUUGUACACACCGCCCGUCGCACCUACCGAUUGAAUGGUCCGGUGAAAUCUUCGGAUCUGAGAGAUGUCUGAUUAAUUUCGGACGCCUUUUGGAAAAGUUGUUUAAACCUUACCAUUUAGAGGAAGGUGAAGUCGUAACA